GAUGAAGAACGUAGCGAAAUGCGAUAAGUAAUGUGAAUUGCAGAAUUCAGUGAAUCAUCGAAUCUUUGAACGCACAUUGCGCCCCCCGGUAUUCCGGGGGGCAUGCCUGUCCGAGCGUCAUUACAACCCUCAAGCUCAGCUUGGUGUUGGGCCCCGCCGCCCCGGCGGGCCCUAAAGUCAGUGGCGGUGCCGUCCGGCUCCGAGCGUAGUAAUUCUUCUCGCUCUGGAGGUCCGGUCGUGUGCUCGCCAGCAACCCCCAAUUUUUUUCAGGUUGACCUCGGAUCAGGUAGGGAUACCCGCUGAACUUAAGCAUAUCAAUAAGCGGAGGA
rnacentral:misc_RNA from 1 species